rnacentral:tRNA from 2 species
GGCUGCCCGGGCUGCGGCUCAUGCUGGCGGCGCUGUCGGGGCCGCUGAGCCGCUCGCCGUUCCACGCGGCGGGGCGGAUGC